UGACGGAGCAACGCCGCGUGCGGGAGGACGCCUUUCGGGGUGUAAACCGCUUUUCUCGGGGACGACGACCGACGGUACCCGAGGAAGAAGGCCCGGCUAACUACGUGCCAGCAGCCGCGGUAAUACGUAGGGGCCGAGCGUUGUCCGGAAUUACUGGGCGUGAAGCGCGCGCAGGCGGCCCGGUGCGCCCGGCGUGAAAGCCCCCGGCUCAACCGGGGAGCGUCGUCGGGGACGGCCGGGCUUGAGGGCGGGAGGGGCCGGUGGAAUCCCUGGUGUAGUGGUGAAAUGCGUAGAGAUCAGGGGGAACACCCGUGGCGAAGGCGGCCGGCUGGCCCGACCCUGACGCUGAGGCGCGAAGGCGUGGGGAGCG
rnacentral:rRNA from 1 species